AUAACCCGAUCUGUUUGGGAGCUAAAGCUAAUUUUCUUCGAAAAACAGUGAAAAAACAGAGAUUUUUGAUACUUUGAGCGAGUGUCGGCACCAUUUAGAGUUAUCCAAUCGAGCUGAAAUUUUGGCUAUCUAAAAAUCUGCAAAGGCGGAACAUUUAAUGGGGUUCCCCCGAAAAAAAAUCGACAAAAAGUUUUUUCUAUGGCAGUUGCGGUCACUCUAGUGUGCAGUUUACCUGUAUUAAAUUAGACUUUAUUCUGUAAAUUCGAAAUUUAUUUAAUAAUUCUAAGCGAUUUUAAGGAGGAAUGUGCAAUUACAGGCGGUUCUGGUCAGUGUAAGUCCUUGACAGACGAGGGGAACGAUGAUAUUUGCACAUGUAAGAUAACUUCGGCGCCAAUAUUUGAUUACUGUUUUUUGUGUAGGAGCUCAAUGCAAAAAUGUUUACAAUGGGAGGAGGGUUUUAUCGCCCCCGGUUUAGACGGGAGGAGCAAAAAACUAUCUAACAGCCCUAUUAGGGUGGGUCAAAAAAAUCGAAAUUCUUUUUUUUGAAUUGGUACUCCGAAAAAUCGAUUGCUAGACCCCUCUAGAAUAUACACACCAAAUAUGAGCUCUUUAUAUUAAUGGGAAGGUCCUCCGCUUUGCAAUUUUCCAUUUUUACAUCAAGCUUCUACUAAAAAAAAAUAUUUUUUUUAUUAAUUGACUUUUUAGCAAAUUUCUUUUCAUAUUCUUGUAGGAAAUUGAACGCUCUACAAAAAAGGCCGUAUCCAAAUCGCAAUGCAUACGGGUCAUAAGAAAACUAUUGAAAUCAGUGAGCAUUGGUUUGGAUACGAAUAUCUUCUAAACGGUUAAAGCAAUCAAUUUGAUUCCAAGGAAUUUUUUGUAGAACGUUUAAGCCCCUACAAGAAUAUGUCUUGCUAAUUUGAAAAUAAUGAAGUUUCAGUGAAUCAGAAAUUUUUUAAAAAUAUAAAAUGUUUUUAUAUUUUUUUUUAACUUUGACCUCGAAUAUCUUUAAAAUGGUUUGAUUAAUGAAAAAAGUUAACAAGACCUUUUUUGUGGAGCAAUCAAUUUCCAACAAGAAUAUGUCUUGCGCGUUUGAUCAUUAUAAUUUUUCAAUUUGUUACAAAAUUAAGACCAAAAAACGAAUUUUUAAAGAUUUUCUCGAUUUUUUUACCUCAAAUAUCUAUUCAACGGUUAGAUAAACGAAAAAAGAGUAUAAGGCCUUUUUUGUAGAGCGUUCAAUUUCCUACAAGAAUCCGAAAAGAAAUUUGCUAAAAAGUCAAUUAAUAAAAAAAAUAUUUUUUUUUUGUAGAAGCUUGAUGUAAAAAUGGAAAAUUGCAAAGCGGAGGACCUUCCCAUUAAUAUAAAGAGCUCAUAUUUGGUGUGUAUAUUCUAGAGGGGUCUAGCAAUCGAUUUUUCGGAGUACCAAUUAAAAAAAAAGAAUUUCGAUUUUUUUGACCCACCCUAAGCCCUAUUCUGGUAUUCAAGUGAAUCUCAUAUCCGAUUCACACAUUCGAUUCACUUUAACUCUAGCUUGUCAUUCUACAAUCCAUCGGGUGAACUGCAUUAUCAUACUCCUAUUUGACCAUUACCGAUAUUACCGACGCACAGUGGCCCGUUUUGACUUUUUUGCUUGCAAAAUUAAUAUCUUCUAAACAAAUAAAGACAUCGCCACAAUUGUUUUUUAUCUUGAAGGAAAUUUCCAAGGCUAGAAAAUUGUGAAUUUCAAAAAAAAAAACUACAGGGUGUUUCAGAAUUUGGUGUUAAAAUCAGAAGUUUUAGAUAAGGUUGUAAACAUAAUGGUAUUUUGAUUACAAUCGUCAAAAAACAAUUUCUGAAGUAAUCUGAGUUAGGUGACACAGUGGGGAAAAAGGAAAGGAACCAAUUCGAGUGAAACAGUGGGGAGAAAAGUAUUUUUUUUGUUUUUUAUUUUUAUGCAAUUUUUUUAUUUUUCUUUAUAGAAGAGUACAUUUAUAAUGUAUUUCAGUGAUAUAUUACAAGUCAAACAGUGGAAAAAGAUAAAAGUAACAAAUUAAGACAUAAAAAACACUAGAUUUCUUUAAAACUAUCAUCUAAGUCCGGGGUAAUUUGUAAUAAACUCAUCAUUUCUGGAGAGUAUUGUUCUUGCAGAUCUUUUUGGUUUCUUACAUGCCUUAAGGAAGAAUAGGUGUAUCCGAUGAGGUUGCAAGCAUGUUAAAUAGGUCUUCAUUUUGCCGAAUCCUUGAAACUUUGCACGUAUUUUGAUAUCUGUACUUCUUGUGGUCUUUAACUUUGCACUCCUGGGCUUCUUCCGACAGUUCUCCAAGUGGAAGUGAUUGAUAUUCGAUGAUAUUUUGACUAUGGACCAUUAUUUUGUGAAGAGUAGGCGUGAGUAGUUUUUCAGGAUACUUUUUUUAGAAGCUCUGCUGUUUUCUUAGUAUACUCUCCAAAUUUAACUGCAUUCACUACUUCCCUGCAAUUCAAAACAUUCAGUAGGUAUUAUUUUCAGCAUCAUAAUAACUUCUCCAUUGACUCCAGUUAUUCGAGCGGUUGCAUCUGAUUGUUCUCCUUGAAGUGUUUCCAUUAUUAGUAUUUCCAUAGCCUUUCUUUGGUUUAUCCACAUCAAGUCCAAGCUCUUCUCGAAAACGCGUUUGGAUCGCUUGUUUUCUUCUCUUUUCCAUCUCCUUGGUCCCAAUAUAUUCAUAAAAAAUCAUGUUAUUGAAAUCCACCACUAACAAAACAAAGAACUCUAAUUUUCCAAGAUUUUAUUUUCACACAUGAAAAAAAAAUGUCGAAAAAAUGACUGACCUUUUCAAAUCAAAUCGCUCUAGCUUAGUUGGGUGCAAAAUGACGCAGCUGAGCUUUUGGAUUUUUAUUAAGAAAUAUAUAAGGAUUUUGAAUCAGCUGAGCUUGGUUUGAUUACGUAGGAAUCUUUUUUUUCUAUGCAAUUUGAAGUCGAAAAAGUAUGCAAAAAACAGUGUUUCAAAAAACAUUAAAUUAAACAAUUAAAAAAUAAAUGUUUUAAUUCUUUUUUUUAAUUUUUGGUUUAAAUAUUUACACAGCAUUUGAAAAAAAAAAUAAAAAUCAAAACGUUUUAGGAGCCCUCUUCCUAGUUUUAACACUCAAAGCUAAGAAAAAAAAUAAAAAAACAGAUUUUUUUUUUCAUAGUAAAAAAUUAUUAACUUUGACUUGCUCUAUAAGGCACACCAAUAAAUAAAUAAUAUAAUAAUAAAGUUUUUCAUUAUCUACCCACCCGAUAAAUGAAUAUUGCAAGCACUUUUGUCUAAAUAGGCAACUGUGCGACGUAUGUUUGGAUUUCCCCCGAUGAAUAGCAGAAUGGCAAUUGGUGAAUAUUUAGAGAAUAUUCCCCUCAAUGGAUAGCAGAAUAGGGCUGUAAUAUAUAUUUUUAGGUACUUUCCUAAAAUCCAAAACUUAAAGCCCGUUAGUUUAUGCAAGACAAAUAUUUUUUCUGAAUUUCGUAGUUUUUACACAAAUUUGCUUAUUUA